rnacentral:lncRNA from 1 species
UUGAGAGGUGCCCUCGAAGGAUAACCUUUCCUCUAUAGAGAAUUAGGGCUAGACAUUCCAAUGUAGUAGAUUAGUUCUAGUCGGAAGUUAGGGAGAGCGGAGCUGCGCUUCGGUUCUGGAGAAGUCUUCAGAGUUUAUUGUAAGACUUAUGCUUUAAUAUAUUUAUCUUCUCUAUUUACUUUUAUGCCUUUAUUAUUAUCGAGUAGUGUAGUUGUUAUAUUUUAGCAUAGGAUCUCCGUUCGCAUCGAGUGCUCUAGUUAUUCAUGGUAAUUAGAGUAGUAAUCGUUAGUAUAGACGUGGUGUCUAUACUAGAGGUUACCUGUGGGUGCACCCAGUCCUGCAGAUUGUUGUGGUAGCCGUAACGGUCGACGUAUUCCACCUCGUUCGGAUCGGUAUUUGUAGGACCGUAGUUAGAGCUUCCCAGCCCCCUUCCAGUUCUCUUUCUGUGGUUGGUGUUCUGAUGUCCCAAAGUGCUAAUAUGUGAUUUCUAUAUCUAUUCAUUCUUUGUUAUCAUAGAACUGAAGUAAUAGAGAAGUAUACAGGAACCCAGGUCUCUCCCGUUGUCCUCCCGCUAUGGCUAUCUACGCAUUUAUCAUAGAAUUCUCACCUUUAUAUUAUUACCUAUCAUAUAUCAUUUACCCCUACUUUAGUCUAGUUGGUUUAUUAAAUUAGUAGAUGCAUGAUAGUAAGUUAUCAGAUUCUUUGACCUUAGCUCUCAAGUGGUAAAAUAUAAAUAACGAUACCUGGAAUACUCUCGGUAAAAUGCUACGAUGAUGUUCUGUGCGCUUGCGGAAUUUUUCUUAUUCUUAUUGCACUUAACGAAUGUCAACACUUACCAAGGGAUUUUGGGGGCCCGAGGAAGGCUUGGAGAUCACCGGCGGCUCGCGACGGCGGACCGAGGGUCCUGCAGGACUUCAGCGUCGAUGUGAGAGCGCUAUAGUGCGAUAGAGAGUAAAAGAAGAGUCUCAGCACCUUCAUAGACCCGUUUCAGAGCUCGGCACACGAUCGAUGGCGCCCUGAGUGCGGUAGAGAGCAAGGGCGACGGUUCGGCCGAGCUUGGCACCGGCGAGAUCCCAAAGACGACCGCGAGACGGAGCUAGGGCAAGGAGACACUCGUGACCACGCAAACAGGAGGAAACAGAGGCGGUAGGUUCCCCGUUCCCCUUUAUAGGACCAAGGUCCAUGAAUCGGGCACAAAUCGCCAACGGAUUGGAACAAUUUCGGUAGGAGCAGAGUCCUACACGCACCCGACGCGGGGUUGAAGAAAGGUAAGGCGUCUGACAAGCGGGUCUGAGACGUCAUUGAUAGAGAGGAAAGGAGGGGGGUGCGCCGCUCGGGCCGAACGAGCUGGGUCGAGGUGCGAGCGGAGCUGGGUGUUGGGCCGAGUGAAGAAAGGAGAAGGGGGGGGGAACUGGGCCGCGCGCACUGGGCCUGAGAGGGGAGGGCUUGCCUGCGCGUGGGGCUGGGCCAGAGUGGCCAAGGAUCAGGUUCUCCCUUCUUAUUUUUUUAAAUUCAAAACCAUUUCAAACUCAGUUUCCAAAGCAUUUACAUAUAUUUUUUGAAUUUUAGGUUCAAAUACACACAUCAUAACAAGUAAAAUGCAGAAGCAUGAGUGCACAAGAAUGUUGUUAGGUUCUAUGAUGAAUUUUAAUUUAAUAAAAAAUAUUGUUUUCCCUAUAUUCCAUGAGCACAAAAAUUCAUAAAUAAAUCAUUUGAGCUAUAUUUCCAAGAAAACAAUUUUUAGGGUGUUACAUUUAGUCAUUCCAUUCAGAGUUUCAUAGCACUUCAAAGAGCAAACAAAGAAGAGGAGUAGGGGAGGGGAGCAGUGAGCAAGACUACAUAAGAGAGGAGCAGUGAGCAGAGGAGAGGAGCAGGGAAGGCGAGGGGAGCAGGGGAGGGGACUGCAUGAGAAAGGAGCAGUGAGCAGGUGAGAGGAGCAUGGGAGGCGAGCAGUGAGCAGGGGGGAGCAGGGGAAGGGACUGCAGGAGAGAGGAGCAGGGAGCAAGGACUGACCUUGGCCUUGGCGAGGAGACGGUCGGGGAGGAGGUGCGCCGGCAGGGACCCCGCAUUUUUGACAAAAUCUUUCAUCUUCAUUUUCGGCUACGCUAGGACAGCUUCCUGUCUGGGAUGCAGGUAGGAGGGCGGCUGUCGGAGAGCCUUCUGGGCGUGUGUGGCUUCUUCCCCCCGCCUUCUCCCUCUUAUCCUUCCUGUGUGAGGGCUUCUUUUCCCAUGCUGGAUGCUCCUCUCGCACGCGCGUGUUUCUGUGGGGGCGAAAUUUUGCGUCGGCUGUCCGCCUCCGCGCUGCCCAGGACGCCUCAGUGCCACCCAAUCGCGCCUCCACGCCGCCCAUUCGCGCCUAGGCGCUGCUCCCGCCUUGGGGUCCGCCUCCCCUCCUAGGCUAGGCAGGACCCCAUCACCCAGCAAUUAGGUGCGCCUAGGCGCUCCAAGUCGGCCGCCUUUUUGAACUUUGAGCCGAGCCAUCGGAGAUCACACCUAGUGACAUGACACCCGAUGAAAAAUGAUGCUUGUCGUGGCAACGAAUCCGUGACACAUGUCAUAAGAGAGCACCACAAAAAAGGAAUAGACUCAAAAAAAUAAUAUGUACUAAAUUCAACACAUAAAAGAGAGCCGCACAAAAAAGGAACCUUGCUUAUGAAAACAUAUUUUGAGACAAAUCAUCUUGUACCAUUUUAAAUUCCUAAAUUCAACAAAUAAAAGAAAUAAUAUGUAGUGAAGUUAUAAGGUUUGAGUUAAAAAUGACCCUGAAAUGAUACAUAUUUGUAUCAUGUUCUAAAAUUUCUAUUUGGAUCGUGAUUAGCAAACACUAAUUAAAAAUAAAUGAUUUUCUAAUUUCUCUAAAUUUUUCAAGGUUUAGUUAUGUUUUGUAAAAAUAAAAGAGUGGAAAAAUAUGCUUUUCGAUUUUUAAAUUAUUCUAGUUAAUUUUCAUUCAUGUUGGUUGCAUAAUUUAGAUUAAGUGAAAGUGAAUUAUAAAAUUCUUUUAGGUCACAAAUAGGUUUCUCUACUUUCAAAAAUUAAGCUUUAAAAAACAAUAAAUACUCAUAGCUACAAAAAUUUUUUGAAAUAAUUUUUUCAAAAAUUUGUAUUUAAAAUCUUCUAAAAUAUAUUUUAAAAAAUUUUAAAUAUUUUGAGAAGAUUGAAAUAAUUUGGUUUAAACAUAGCUUUAAAUAAUUUAAAAUAAUUGAUUUGUUUUCAACAUUUUGAAAAAUUUACAAAAAUGAAAGGUUUAAAUAAAUAUAUUUGAAAACUAUUUUGCAAAAUUUUACAAAAAGGUAUAACCUUGUUCUGGGCCAAAAAUUCUCUAAAAACUCUAGCCCAAAACUUUUUCCUUUUCACUUCAGGCCCGCUUCCUAAUGUCCACGGGAUGAUCUGGUGGGCAUCGUUAUUGAUUUGGCUCAGAAUUUCUUUUUUAUAACCUUGAAUGCAAGUUAGAGCACACUAGAAAAUAUUAAAUGCACAUCUUAGAGCAUCUUCAAGAGACUCUCAAAAAAGACUAGCUAAAUUUCCUGAUUUAGAUCCUCUCUAAAAUAGAAACAACAAAAAAUUAGUAGUGGUCUUCAGCAGACUCGGUAAAACUAGGACUCUUCAUAUUCAAUUGUGCCACGUCAUCGUUUUUUCCGGACCGGCAAACGGCGCGCGGCAUUUGUGCGGUGGGCAUCGUCUCCCUUCUCGUUAAGUCUUUGCGCCGCCACUUGGAACGCACAGCUUGAGGAAAGGGCAUCGUCGCCCAGACAUCUGGCCACGUAGGGUUUCGGCAGUUCAGGACGUCCAGCCGGCCGCACGGCUUGAAGGCCAUCGCUGGACAUCGCAGCAUCUGCAUUCGGCUGCCCCAUCCUGCCUUGAAGGGCAUCACGGCCAUAGAGGUUUGUCCACGAUAGAAUUUUGCAAUUGGUUGGUAAUUAUAUUUGUUGAUUAGAUAAUAAUUUGUCCUUUUGCCCUAUAGCCCAAAGCGUGCCUAAUGAUGGAUUCUGAAUAUGAACUCAGUUAUAUGAAUGAUUUGCUUGAGUCCUCGUCUUCGGAUGAUGACAAUGAUUUAUAUAUUGCUGCUGCAAACAUAGUAGCGAAUGACACUAUCAAUCACCCAUGUCAUGGUGGUUCCGUAGAUGGACAUCGCGUAUUGAACCGUGAUAGGCAGUAUGGCCACAACAGACUUUAUGAAGACUAUUUCUUAGAUAAUCCUACAUAUGGGCCGAACUAUUUUAGGCGCAGGUUUGUACUUUCCCCCAUAGAUUGAAAUUUAUUUCUAAAUGUGUCCAAGUGUGCCUAAUUAAUUUACCUUGUGCCAUAGGUUUUGAAUGAGACGCCAUGUGUUUCUUCGUAUAAUGAGUGAGGUUGAGAAGCAUGAUGACUACUUUGUGC